AAGGGGAAAAGCGAAGGCCGCCCGCCUAUCGGCGAAACGCGCUGGAGGGCCUGCGAGGAGGCUGUUGCCGCCGCAGCAGGACCGAAGCGUCGCGAGCCGAUGGCGGCCGGAGCUAGACAGUACGAAAAGCGAAGGCCGCAAUGGCCAACUGUCGAUACACCGCGCUUUCGUUUCGUUCGGUUUUGAGGGAAUGAGAAAUUCCUUCAAAAGCGCCUGUGCCUGCGUCUGCUAGCAGGUUCGGGGGAGCAAGAUUCCUCGGCACAAAGCUGCAAGGAGGAUUGCUCAAAGAAGCCGCUUUGCGUCUUCUAGCAGAUUCAAGGAAGAUGGAUUCCUCGACGCAAGACUGCAGAGAAGCAAAUUCAAGAAGCAGUCUCGUUCCUUGAAAACUAGAUAACCGGAAAAGCGGAGGCUCGCGGGUCGCCGCGAUGGGCAAAUGUUCUUCGCCUGCAAGGGUGCUUGCACCCGGAAGGCGAAGGUUAUUUGACCCCGAGCGGCGGCGAGCCGAAGCUAGACAGUAAGGAAGAAGCCGAGAGCGCUGUA
rnacentral:misc_RNA from 1 species